UGUUUAGAUAGGUAGCAUCAUCUUGCAAUAUAGGAAGUAGCAAUAUUUUUUAAAUACCAUGCGGAAUGUGAAGAGACGUCUUCUCAGGAACAAACAUAGGAAAGCAUAAUAAGCCGCAUGAGUUAACUCACCCCCAUCUAACUGGAAGAGGAAAAGUGGGUGUUGCUUGUGAUAAUCGUAAGAUCAACAAAAGCUGUGGUGGGCCACAAGGAAGAAAACCACGUAUGAAAUCCAUCCGAAGAGAAAGUCCCCCUUUUAUUCAACAAGCAGAUUCGAUGUUGCUUAAUUCAUGGCGAACAAUGGCUCAGGGAACCAACGGCACCAAGCGCGCCCGGCUUUGCGAUGAAGUAGCUUUACGAGAGAGAGAGCUCUAAUUAUAUGCAUCUUCUGAAU